rnacentral:rRNA from 1 species
AUACGUAGGGCGCGAGCGUUGUCCGGAAUUACUGGGCGUAAAGAGCUCGUAGGUGGUUUGUCGCGUCGUCUGUGAAAUUCCGGGGCUUAACUCCGGGCGUGCAGGCGAUACGGGCAUAACUUGAGUACUGUAGGGGAGACUGGAAUUCCUGGUGUAGCGGUGAAAUGCGCAGAUAUCAGGAGGAACACCGGUGGCGAAGGCGGGUCUCUGGGCAGUAACUGACGCUGAGGAGCGAAAGCAUGGGUAGCGAACAGGAUUAGAUACCCUGGUAGUCCAUGCCGUAAACGGUGGGCGCUAGGUGUAGGGGUCUUCCACGACUUCUGUGCCGUAGCUAACGCUUUAAGCGCCCCGCCUGGGGAGUACGGCCGCAAGGCUAAAACUUAAAGGAAUUGACGGGG